GCGUGCCUAACACAUGCAAGUCGAGCGGUAACAGGGGAGCUUGCUCCCGCUGACGAGCGGCGGACGGGUGAGUAAAGUCUAGGAAUCUGCCCAGUAGUGGGGGACAACGCGGGGAAACUCGCGCUAAUACCGCAUACGCCCUACGGGGGAAAGGUGCUUUAUUGUACCGCUAUUGGAUGAGCCUAGAUCAGAUUAGCUAGUUGGUGGGGUAAAGGCCCACCAAGGCGACGAUCUGUAGCUGGUCUGAGAGGAUGAUCAGCCACACUGGGACUGAGACACGGCCCAGACUCCUACGGGAGGCAGCAGUGGGGAAUAUUGGACAAUGGGGGAAACCCUGAUCCAGCCAUGCCGCGUGUGUGAAGAAGGUCUUCGGAUUGUAAAGCACUUUAAGUUGGGAGGAAGGGGUGAAGUAAUGACUCACCUUUGACGUUACCAACAGAAUAAGCACCGGCUAACUUCGUGCCAGCAGCCGCGGUAAUACGAAGGGUGCAAGCGUUAAUCGGAAUUACUGGGCGUAAAGCGCGCGUAGGUGGUUUAUCAAGUUGGAUGUGAAAUCCCUGGGCUCAACCUAGGAACUGCAUCCAAAACUGAUUGACUAGAGUAUAGUAGAGGUUAGUGGAAUUUCCUGUGUAGCGGUGAAAUGCGUAGAUAUAGGAAGGAACACGACUGACGAAAGCGACUAACUGUACUAAGACACAGACUGACGUGCCAGAGCGUGGCGAGCAGCCACGAUUAGAUGCCC
rnacentral:rRNA from 1 species